UGGUAUUCUGUAGAAACACUAAUAAGUAAUUGAGCAGAUGAGAUGUUCUUGCUAGCUUUGGUAAAAAGUACAAGCAAGGUUGGAACUGCAGAGUUCUGAUGAGCCUCAGGAUGCUGAAGUCUAGCGUCUGAAUUGAACAUGGUAGGGCUCACAUCAUGGUUUGAGCAGAAAUCCGGCACUAAAUCCUUUUUUGAGAGUUAUCUUACUGACCUGUGUUUCUUAACAGUAGUGGUAGUAGUAAUAAUAAUAAUUACAAAGCAUGUAUCUAAACCAGAUCACCUAAGUUGUCAUUUUUCAUGUGUUUAAUGUGUGCUACUGUGUAUCAGUUUGAGAUUAUCGAAUGUACAGUGUAGCCUGUGUCCCUUGCAGUCCCAGCAAAUGCGGAGAUGUCGGCUUGCCUGCUGUAUAUGUGUUCAAAUGGCUCUGGAAGAGAGGAAGUCGUCUAGCUAUCAGUUACAAUGCCAUCCGGAAAAUGAAAGAGAUAGCCAGAUCGAAGGCAGUAGCAGUGGCUGAAGAGAUGUGGGGACUUGGUGGCCUGUUGUAGUAGGACCUGAUGGGAAAAGAAGGCCUAGCCUGAGGGUGCUCUGAAAGGCCAGAACUUUGUAUAUGUACCUGUACCUGUACCUGGAAUACACCGUCGCAGGCCAACUUCGACUCUUCUCUGCACCCCUUCUCGCUGCAGCCUCCAGGGUGUUGGGUAAGCUCCAUUCUCCACUGUCUGGUGACUAUCUGUUACCCUCCUAAACACAGGACUUCUGUUCAUGGCCAUGUUCAGGCCAUCAGACAAGUUGUGUCCCCUGUGUGACAGGACACACAAUUCAGUGUGGAUUGUGGUGGGGAAAUGUGAGGUAAUAGACAGUGUGAAAGUUCCCAGCUGCCUCCAAAGUCCCAGGCAGUCUGGAUUCUCUCUUCAUGGCAAUGAGAAGCUCUAGAAGAUUUGUGUAUACUGUGGUGCCUCAAACUUCUAAAGGGG
rnacentral:lncRNA from 1 species